rnacentral:rRNA from 1 species
GCCUAAUACAUGCAAGUCGGACGGGAUCCAUCGGAGAGCUUGCUCGAAGAUGGUGAGAGUGGCGCACGGGUGCGUAACGCGUGAGCAACCUACCUCUAUCAGGGGGAUAGCCUCUCGAAAGAGAGAUUAACACCGCAUAACAUCAACAGUUCGCAUGUUCAGUUGAUUAAAUAUUUAUAGGAUAGAGAUGGGCUCGCGUGACAUUAGCUAGUUGGUAGGGUAACGGCUUACCAAGGCGACGAUGUCUUUUGGGGCUCUGAGAGGAGAAUCCCCCACACGGGUACUGAGACACGCCAGACUCCUACGGGAGGCAGCAGUAAGGAAUAUUGGUCAAUGGGCGGAAGCCUGAACCAGCCAUGCAGCGUGCAGGAUGACUGCCCUAUGGGUUGUAAACUGCUUUUGUCCAGGAAUAAACCUAGAUACGUGUAUCUAGCUGAAUGUACUGGAAGAAUAAGGAUCGGCUAACUCCGUGCCAGCAGCCGCGGUAAUACGGAGGAUCCGAGCGUUAUCCGGAUUUAUUGGGUUUAAAGGGUGCGUACGGCCUAUUAAGUCAGGGGUGAAAUACGGUGGCUCAACCAUCGCAGUGCCUUUGAUACGGAUGGGCUUGAAUCCAUUUGAAGUGGGCGGAAUAAGACAAGUAGCGGUGAAAUGCAUAGAUAUGUCUUAGAACUCCGAUUGCGAAGGCAGCUCACUAUGCUGGGGUAUUGACGCUGAUGCACGAAAGCGUGGGGAUCGAACAGGAUUAGAUACCCUGGUAGUCAACGCCCUAAACGAUGAUAACUCCAUGUUGGCGAUAGACAGCCAGCGUCCAAGCGAAAGCGUGAAGUUAUCCACCUGGGGAGUACGCCCGCAAGGGUGAAACUCAAAGGAAUUGACGGGGGCCCGCACAAGCGGAGGAGCAUGUGGUUUAAUUCGAUGAUACGCGAGGAACCUUACCCGGGCUUGAAAGUUAGUGAAGAGUGCAGAGACGCACUCGUCCUUCGGGACACGAAACUAGGUGCUGCAUGGCUGUCGUCAGCUCGUGCCAUGAGGUGUUGGGUUAAGUCCCGCAACGAGCGCAACCCCUAUGUUUAGUUGCCAGCAUUUAAGGUGGGGACUCUAAACAGACUGCCUGUGCAAACAGAGAGGAAGGUGGGGACGAAGUCAAGUCAUCAUGGCCCUUACGUCCGGGGCUACACACGUGCUACAAUGGAUGGUACAG